AACGAACGCUGGCGGCAGGCUUAACACAUGCAAGUCGAACGCCCCGCAAGGGGAGUGGCAGACGGGUGAGUAACGCGUGGGAAUCUACCCAGAUCUUCGGAACAACUGAGGGAAACUUCAGCUAAUACCGGAUACGCCCUACGGGGGAAAGAUUUAUCGGUUCUGGAUGAGCCCGCGUUGGAUUAGCUAGUUGGUGAGGUAAUGGCUCACCAAGGCGACGAUCCAUAGCUGGUCUGAGAGGAUGAUCAGCCACACUGGGACUGAGACACGGCCCAGACUCCUACGGGAGGCAGCAGUGGGGAAUAUUGGACAAUGGGCGAAAGCCUGAUCCAGCCAUGCCGCGUGAGUGAUGAAGGCCUUAGGGUUGUAAAGCUCUUUCAGUAGGGAAGAUAAUGACGGUACCUACAGAAGAAGCCCCGGCUAACUUCGUGCCAGCCGCCGCCGUAAAAC
rnacentral:rRNA from 1 species